rnacentral:rRNA from 1 species
CCUUCCGUAAGGGGAACCUGCGGAAGGAUCAUUAACGAAGCCAAUUUAUUUUGGCAUUAUUCUUUCAAUUCUGUGAACUUGAAAUUUGCUUUGGGUUGGAAGUUGAUUUAAGAAAGCUUUCAGUUUUUUUAUUCUAUCUUCUACCCAACAUUUUAAACUCUUAACCUUUGAAUCAUGUCUGACUGAUUAAAUAAAAAAUUAAUCAAAACUUUCAACAACGGAUCUCUUGGUUCUCGCAUCGAUGAAGAACGCAGCAAAACGCGAUAUGUAGUGUGAAUUGCAGAAUUUUGUGAAUCAUCGAAUUUUUGAACGCACAUUGCGCCCUCUGGUAUUCCGGAGGGCAUACCUGUUUGAGCGUCAUUUCUUCUUCAUUUUCAAAUGGUUUUGUGUGUCUUUUUUUGUACAUUGUACAAAAUCACACUAAAUAUAAUGGCAUGAUUGUUAUUCUUGUGAAAGCGUUUUAGGUUUACCAACUACGUAAAUAACAGAUGACAGUGGUCAGGCCUAUAUAACCUCCAUUUCAAAAUUUGACCUCAAAUCAGGCAGGAAUACCCGCUGAACUUAAGCAUAUCAAUAAGCGGAGGAAAAGAAACCAAC